rnacentral:rRNA from 1 species
AACGAACGCUGGCGGCAUGCCUAACACAUGCAAGUCGAACGAGACCUUCGGGUCUAGUGGCGCACGGGUGCGUAACGCGUGGGAACCUGCCCUUAGGUUCGGAAUAACUCCCCGAAAGGGGUGCUAAUACCGGAUAAUGUCUUCGGACCAAAGAUUUAUCGCCUUUGGAUGGGCCCGCGUUGGAUUAGCUAGUUGGUAGGGUAAAAGCCUACCAAGGCGACGAUCCAUAGCUGGUCUGAGAGGAUGAUCAGCCACACUGGGACUGAGACGCGGCCCAGACUCCUACGGGAGGCAGCAGUGGGGAAUAUUGGACAAUGGGCGAAAGCCUGAUCCAGCAAUGCCGCGUGAGUGAUGAAGGCCUUAGGGUUGUAAAGCUCUUUUACCCGGGAUGAUAAGGACAGUACCGGGAGAAUAAGCUCCGGCUAACUCCGU